UGAUUUAAUUUAUUUAUUAAAUAUAUUAUUUGAAUUAAGUUAUUAUAAAUAUUAAAAAUAAUUGAAAAUUAAGUGUUUUUAUUAUGAUAAAGAAAAAAGUAUAAAAUUUAUAGUUUAAUAUUAUUGUGUAAGAAUUUAUUAUUUAAUUUAGUUAAAAAAAAUUAUUAUAAAUGUAUUUUGGGUAUCAAAGUUUAUUAAUAUUAUAAAUAUAAGUUAUAUUUAUCUCGAAAUUAAAUGAUUUAAUUAUAUUUUAAUUUUAAUGUGAAAUAAUUAUUUUUUAAUUAUAAUUAGUAAUGAAAAGUUAAUCGUAUUUUAUAAUAUCUAGUUUUUUAAUAAAAAAAUUUAAUUUUAUUAUUUAUUUUUAAAUUAUCUAUUUAAUUUAUAGUUAAUUUAAAUAAAUAAUUUAUAUUUUAAGGGAUAAGCUUUAAAAUAAAAUUUAAUAUAUUGUAUGAAUUAAUUUAAAAAUAAUAUAAUUAAAAUUUUUAAUUUAGUAAAAAUUGUAAUUAAUUUUUUUAUUUAUUUAUUUAUUUUAAUUUAUAAUUUAAAAUUUUAUUAAAAAUAUUAAUUUAAUAAUUAAAUUAAUGAUAUAAUGAUAAAAUUAGUAUAUUUUUUUAUAAAAUUGUUAAUUUUAUAAUACUUAAGAUUAAAUAAUUCGGCAAAAUUAAAUUUCAACUGUUUAACAAAAACAUUUCUUUUUGAUAAUUUUUAAAAAGUAAAAUCUGCCCACUGAUUAAUAAUUGAAGGGCUGCAGUAAUUUAACUGUACAAAGGUAGCAUAAUCAAUAGUUUUUUAAUUGAAAACUUGUAUGAAUGAUUAAAUGAAAAUUUAACUGUUUUAAUUUUAGAAUUAGAAUUUUAUUUUUUAGUUAAAAAGCUAAAGUUUAUAUAAUAGACAAGAAGACCCUAUAAAUUUUAAAAUAUUUUAAUUUAUUGAGUUUAAUUUAAAUUAUUUUUGAUUGGGGUAAUUAUAAAAUUAAAUUAAUUUUUAUACAUUAAAAUCAUAAAUUUAUGAAUUUUAGAUUUUUAAGUUUAUAUUAAUAAAAUAAAAUACUUUAGGGAUAACAGCUUAAUUUUAAUUUAAAGAUCUUAUUUGAAUUAAAGUUUGUGACCUCGAUGUUGGAUUAAAUAUAAUUUAAAUGUAAAAGUUUAAAUGAUUAGUCUGUUCGACUAUUAAAAAUUUACAUGAUCUGAGUUCAAAUCGGUGUGAGCCAGAUUGGUUUCUAUCUUUAGUUAAAAUAUUGAUAAUAGUACGAAAGGAGUUUAUUAAUUAAAUUAAUUUAUUAUAAUUGAAUAAAAUU
rnacentral:rRNA from 1 species